UUGACGGGGGCCCGCACAAGCGGCGGAGCAUGUGGCUUAAUUCGAUGCAACGCGAAGAACCUUACCUGGGCUUGACAUGCGGGUUAAGGCGUAGAGAUACGCUGAUCUUCGGAUCCCGCACAGGUGGUGCAUGGCUGUCGUCAGCUCGUGUCGUGAGAUGUUGGGUUAAGUCCCGCAACGAGCGCAACCCUUGUCCUAUGUUGCCAGCGGGUAAUGCCGGGGACUCGUAGGAGACUGCCGGGGUCAACUCGGAGGAAGGUGGGGACGACGUCAAGUCAUCAUGCCCCUUACGUCCAGGGCUGCACACAUGCUACAAUGGCCGGUACAAAGGGCUGCUAUCUCGCGAGAGUGAGCGAAUCCCAUAAAGCCGGUCUCAGUUCGGAUCGCAGUCUGCAACUCGACUGCGUGAAGUCGGAGUCGCUAGUAAUCCCGGAUCAGCAACGCCGGGGUGAAUACGUUCCCGGGCCUUGUACACACCGCCCGUCAAACCACGAAAGUCGGCAACACCCGAAGCCGGUCACCCAACCCUU
rnacentral:rRNA from 1 species